rnacentral:lncRNA from 1 species
CCUUGCUUCAAGUAUACUUCCCUAGAAUUCUGGCUCUCUACAAUACACUAUUGACUAAAUGGAAAGAACAAUAAUAAAAAAAUGAAAUUGAAACCUGUUCAAUUAUAAUGGCUCCAGAUCUUAAGUAAAUGGAUAUUUAAUUAUAAUAGACUGGACUGGAGGAACCAAGGGAAUCCCAGUGAUAGGAAACCAUGGCAGACUGCCACAACCACCAUAAUAACAUUAGUGUUUCUGAAGAAUUUACAGUACAAGCCAAAAGGAAGUCUACCUCCAGAGAAAGCAAAGUGGGAGAUCUACUAAGUAUCAUCAUAAAGAAGCGAAUGAACCCAUUGUCUUAAUGUUUAUAAACCCAAAGAUCCCUACUGUCAAGAUAAGAAUUACUAUUCAACAAAAACUGGAAAGCAACAUGGCAGAAACUAGGUACAGAACAACAGCUCAUGACAUAUUCCAACAUUUGCUUCAAAUGAAUAUCAUAAAUAAAUUAAAGGAACAAGG